GCAAACGUCGUCUAGCUUGGUCUAGGAUCGGGCCUUACUUGAAUAGAAAAACUAUUUGAGGGCCAAUGGGAGGCUCAGACCUGGGUUCAAAUCCCAGCGUCCCCA
rnacentral:tRNA from 1 species